GAGCAGUGGUCCCCAACCUUUUUGUAGCUGCGGACCGGUCAACGCUUGAUAAUUUGUCCCGCGGCCCAGAGGGAAUUUUUCUUUUUUUCAUGUAAAAGGGAGUUUUUUUGCGUUGGUGAACUAACUUUUUCAUCCAGCUGCACAGAUGUUUCUGGAUUCUGAGUCAUGGGGAAGGCAAAGAAAUUGUCAAAGGAUCUGCGAGAAAAGUGUAGGAACCUGAAGACAACAAGUGACUCAUGGCUCGUCCUUGUGUCGAGUCGAAAAAUAUCCCCAAGUUGUAUCGCGGGGUGGGAGGCGAUGAUGUCAGAGAUUCCACCACCAAGACACAAACAACUCAACGCGGACCAAGCAAGCAGCGUUGGAGGUCAUGAGGGGAGAGAAAUGAGAGUGACGGACAGAUGGAGACACAUUCGGAGAAAACCUUUGACACGCUGGAGAGAACUGGACUCAUGUACUGCUAACAUUAAUAGAUUGUAAACCACUGAGACAGGCUGUGCUAAUUCCAGCCAAUCAACGGAUCUGAGACAGAGACCUUCUACAGUAAUGUCACUAUCAUAAAGUGUAGUGUCACGCUCACUAUCAUAACGUGCAGUGUCACUAUCAUGUAGUGUAAUGUUAUUAUCAUAAAGUGUAGUGUCACUUUCACUAUCAGAAGGUGUAGUGUCACUAUCAUAAAGUGUAAUGUCAAUAUCAAAGUGUAAUGUCAUUCUCAUAAAGUGUAGUGUCACUAUCAUAAAGUGUAAUGUCACUAUCAUAAAGUGUACUGUCACUCUCACUACCAUAACGUGUUGUGUCACUAUCAUAAAAUGUAGCAUUAAUAUCAUAAAGUGUAGUGUCACACUCACUAUCAUAAAGUUUAGUGUCACUAUCAAAGUGUAAUGUCACUAUCAUAAUAUGUAAUGUUACUUGCAUAAUGUGUAAUAUUACUCUCAUAAAGUGUAGUGUCACUAUCAUAAAGUGUAGUUACCCUCCCACUAUCAUAAUGUGUAUUGUCACUAUCAUAAAGUGUAAUGUUACUAUCUUAGUGUAAU